UACGGGAGGCAGCAGUGGGGAAUAUUGCACAAUGGGCGCAAGCCUGAUGCAGCCAUGCCGCGUGUAUGAAGAAGGCCUUCGGGUUGUAAAGUACUUUCAGUCGUGAGGAAGGUGUUAAGGUUAAUAACCUUAGCAAUUGACGUUAGCGACAGAAGAAGCACCGGCUAACUCCGUGCCAGCAGCCGCGGUAAUACGGAGGGUGCGAGCGUUAAUCGGAAUUACUGGGCGUAAAGGGCACGCAGGCGGUUAAUUAAGUUGGAUGUGAAAUCCCCGGGCUUAACCUGGGAAUGGCAUUCAAGACUGGUUAGCUAGAGUCUUGUAGAGGGGGUAGAAUUCCAUGUGUAGCGGUGAAAUGCGUAGAGAUGUGGAGGAAUACCGGUGGCGAAGGCGGCCCCUGGGACAAAGGCUGACGCUCAUGUGCGAAAGCGUGGGGAGCAAACGAGGGAUUAGAUACC
rnacentral:rRNA from 1 species